CAAUGUGGUUUUUUUUGAGGGGCCGCGUUCGGGGUGAGGUGAGGUGCAGGAAGGUUGGACAGUAUGGUAAGGCAAGGUUAGUUAAGGGUAGGGUAAGGUUGGGUUAGGUUAGGGAAGGGUAAAGUUAGGUUUGGUUAAGUAAGGUAAAGUUUGGUUAGGUCAGGUAAGGUUUGGUUAGGUAAGGUAACGUAGGGUAAGGUUAGGCUUGGUUAGGUUAGGUUAGGUUAAGGAAGGGUAAGGUAAGGUUAGGUUUGAUUAGGUGAGGUAAGGUUUGGUUAAGUAAGGUAAAGUUUGGUUAGGUCAAGUAAGGUUUGGUUAGGUAAGGUAACGUAGGGUAAGGUUAGGUUAGGUUAGGGAAGGGUAAAGUUAAGUUUGGUUAGGUAAGGUAAAGUAGGGUAAGGCUAGGUUAGGUAAGGUAGGAUAGGUUAGGUUAGGUAGGUAUGGUAAAGUAGGGUAAGGUUAGGUAAGAUAAAGUAGGGUAAGGUUAGGUGAGGUAAGGUUAGGUAGGUUAGGUAAGAUAAAGUAGGGUAAGGUUAGGUGAGGUAAGGUUAGGUAGGUUAGGUAAGGUAAAGUAGGGUAAGGUUAGGUGAGGUAAGGUUAGGUAGGUUAGGUAAGGUAAAGUAGGGUAAGGUUAGGUGAGGUAAGGUUAGGUAGGUUAGGUAAGGUAAAGUAGGGUAAGGUUAGGUGAGGUAAGGUUGCAUCAUCAUCAUCAUCAGCCAUUACUGGUCCACUAGCACAAAGGCCUUU